UCAAAAUUUGAAACCCAAGACGAUUAAUUUUUACUGUUUUUAUUUUCUUCGUAUUUCUUUCUUUUGUCAUUCCUCCAAAAAAAAAAACUAUUUUUUGUCUCCUAAGCAAACUCUCCAACAAAUAUUCUUCUCUUUUUCUUGUCACAUUUGCCUGUUUGCCUACCGAAAUCUUUGAACUUUGUCAAAAAAGAGAGGAAAAACCCAUAUUCUUUUUUCUCUCUGAAAAUUAAUCUAAAACCAGAAAUGAAAUCGAAGAAUUGUUGAAGGAGAUCGGCGGACUACUGGAGCAGCAGAUUUCGCUUUCUUCUUCGGCUGAUAGUGAUAGUCUCAGAUUUGGCAACAGCUUCAGCACUACUCUGAGUUCCCUGAUUUCAACAACUAUCUCGUUUUUAUCCUUUCUCGAGCUGAGUGGUGAAUUUCUGCUGGCCUACCUAUUUGCUAGUGGUGAACAAGCCUCGAAAGAUAGGGAAGCUGCUGUUUGGGCUCUUGGUGCAACUGGUGAAGGUUGCGUUACUGGUCUUUAUUCUCAUUUGUCCGAGGUAAUUCUUGUUGUUUUUAACCGGUACACAAAGUUUAGAGGCAGAUUACAAGGUGAAGAAUAAAUGGUGCAUAUAUAACAGUCAUCGGUUUUCCUUAACUCAAUUUAUGCUCUUAAAUUUUUUAUUUUUGCUAUUGCAUUGCUUUUACUUUAUUCUUCUUUGACAUGCUUGCCGCAGAAUUUGAAAAAAAAAAGUCAUAUUUAUGUCUGCAUGUUGUGGCAUUUCUAAGUCCCCUUUUAGAUCAUGCGGAAGAAUUCUUCUUGGACACUUUCUCGAUUCAGUUCAGUUGAGAGCUCUCGUGUUUCCUUUAUAUCAGUCUAGUGGGCAUCAGAAAGGCUAUGAGCAAUUUGAUGCUGUUCUUAUGGGUAUGCUGCGAAGAAUAUUGGAUGCUAACAAGUGGGUAAAAGAGGCUGUUUGACUGGCUUUUGCAAUGCUUGAAGAGGUUAUUAUAAACUUGCUGCACGUUGUAAUUCAGGUUAAAUUCUGAUAGAUUUCAACAAUUGUUUUAUUCAUUUGAGGCUGCUGAAGAGGUUGCACCAAGUUUGGAAAUAAUUGUGUACGCUAGCUUAUGAACGUGUUUUUGUCUAACAUCAGUUUGUUGAGUUGCUUCUCUGAGAAAGCUUUAAUUGGGUUCUGUAAACCAAUACAUUAAGGUUUAUAUUCUUACUUUUAAUGGAUGUCGUUCUGAUACUUUUUGAUGUUAUACAUUAAUUUAUUGAAGGCUUGGUGUACAUCCACGGAUAAAUACCUUCCAGGUUUGUUUGUCCUUGCUUAUGACCUUGCCGCAGAAGUGCUGAAAUUGGUCAACAGUUUCUUGUUUUCUUCUUGUACUCUUGUUUUUUUAUUAUAAUUCUGUUGUUUGCUUGGAAUACUCAAAUCUGCUGUAAGUAUUUCCUAAUUUUGCUUGUAAUUUACUGUAACUUCAAGUUUAUAAAAGCUUGGUAUGAAUCAUUUUUCAUUUCUGACUUUCCAGUUUCAGCAUUGAUUUAGAAGAUGUAGUAUUAGAAUUAGACAUUUUUUUCUCUAGUCCUUGAUGUUAAUGGUUCUUGGGUUUUUUCUGUCACUAGACCAUAAAAUUGCUGGGCAUUGCUAAUAUAUGUUUUAACUAGAAUACUAUGAAAAGAACUGUUUCUGUUAACUUUUAAUAAGAGUUAACAUAAAAAAUUUUCCUUUUUUUUUUUUUG